CCUACGGGAGGCAGCAGUGGGGAAUAUUGGACAAUGGGGGGAACCCUGAUCCAGCCAUGCCGCGUGUGUGAAGAAGGCCCUCGGGUUGUAAAGCACUUUCAGUGAGGAAGAACGCCUGGUGGUUAAUACCCAUCGGGAAAGACAUCACUCACAGAAGAAGCACCGGCUAACUCCGUGCCAGCAGCCGCGGUAAUACGGAGGGUGCGAGCGUUAAUCGGAAUUACUGGGCGUAAAGCGCGCGUAGGUGGCUUGAUAAGCCGGUUGUGAAAGCCCCGGGCUCAACCUGGGAACGGCAUCCGGAACUGUCAAGCUAGAGUGCAGGAGAGGAAGGUAGAAUUCCCGGUGUAGCGGUGAAAUGCGUAGAGAUCGGGAGGAAUACCAGUGGCGAAGGCGGCCUUCUGGACUGACACUGACACUGAGGUGCGAAAGCGUGGGUAGCAAACAGGAUUAGAUACCCUUGUAGUC
rnacentral:rRNA from 1 species